CACAUACACAUCUGUCCCUAGCAAAAGUCAUCUCAGAAGAGAUUAGAUUCCCACAUCUGCAGGGUGAUGUCACGCAUCAGCUCCCUGAAAUGAGACUGGGAGACUCAGGCCCCAGCCCUGCUGAGCAGCCACUUGGAUUCCACUGUUGCCGGAGUGGGAUGAAGGGGUUGUGAUCAAAACGGUAAAUUGCAGCAGGUCCAGGGCCCAGCCUGAUGCCUGGAUUAAACCGAUUAAAACAGAAAUGGGAACAGCUCUAAUCGGCCUCCUGAGAGCCAUGAAAUAGGUUUGGGACAUUUGGGACAACCAUGGGGUAGGGGCUGCAGAACCAGGGAUGAGAUGGAAACAAAGGGGGGCCACAGACACAGUGCUGUUGACAUGCCUGGGCCCGCAGCACUUGGGAGGCUGCCAGGGUGAGUCUGGGAUACCCGGAAGCCACAUGCUAGCCUCCUGCCACCUCAGACUCCAUCCCAGAAUUGCCAAGAGCCAAAGACCAACUUCUGAGUCCCAAGCAGGGCCAUGCUUGAGUUUGUCACAGAGCAGCUGCGGCCACUGAGUCUGGAACACACCGACUGUCUUUUAUUCUCUGUACUUUGAUGGCUUCAAGACAAGUUCCCAUCUGUUCCCUAGAGAGUGAAAGCAAGGGGCCACUUCCUGCAACGGCAUCUCUGGAACCGAGCUACAAAAUUUAUCAGAUCAAACUAGCAAAGCCAUCGGACUGUGAGACACUUCGAGCCCUCGGGAUGGUGAGACCUGGCUCUGGAAGCAGCGUGGUGGGCUCCUCAUCAAGAGUCUGGAAGGUUCUUACUCCUGACUCACCUGGUGGCCCUGGCUGUUAUAAGAUUCCCAUUCAGCGGCAGCUGCUCAGGACCCAGAUAUAGCAGCUUUACUCACCUCUGUGCCUAAAAGAAAAAAGGAAAAAAAGAAAAAAAAUGGCAGAAGUAACGGAGGAAGGAAGGAAGGGUUUGACUGUGGCUCACCAUCGAGAAGGCACAGCCCAUCAUGUGACAGGACGUCGUGGUGGAGCUCACGGUGGCCGAGCCUGUAGCUGGGACUCCUCAGACCUCACUAGACCAGGAAACCAAGAGCCAAACCUGAAGCAGGUAAUGUCUGUGAUUCCCCGCAGCCCAGGGACGCACCUCCUCCCACUAAACAUUUCCCAUCCAAACCUCAUCGGGCCCGGGUGCUAGUAUGCAAAAUUUAGGGCUGAUCACUGAAGCACACAGUUAUUGAUACUCGAUUUCUGUCAGGCUUAGGCGGUUUUCAAAGAUAGAGUCUCAUGUAGCCCAGGCUAGAUUCAGACUCACUAUGUAGCUGAGGAUGACCUCGAACUCCUGAUCCUCCUGCCUCCACCUUCCAAGUCCCACACACAGGGUGAAUGGUCGUUUUCAGUUGCCAUGGAAAUGAUGACAUCAUGACAGAUCAUUGGUGGUGGGGGGGGACCACUCAUCCGGCUUCUCAUGAAGUACAGUAGUCAAGCACCUAGGAGAAGGAUCUCACACGUGGUUGUCUCUCAGAUUGAGGUCUCCUCUCUGCUCAUGUGAGUCAAGAGCCUUUUCUGUUCUCUGUCAGCCUUGCAGUCAGCCUGCUGGAGAACGCCAGCAGGAAUGACCUUUAAAAACUUAAUUAUGAGUUUCCUUUUCCGUGAUCUUAUCACGGGGCUACACAUGAAUAUUCAAACUAACUUCUGCUUUAGGCUUCGGAAGAGGCGUGUGAUCCCCUCCUAGCUGGCCUGGGUGUCCUCUUGGCUGUCACAUACCGUCCUGACUGGUUUUGGCCAGCCCAGGCCUGAUUCUUGCCGUGCCCUCUGCCUUUCCUGAGCCUCCUGUCCUUUGGUGAGCAGCUCUUCUCUCUUCAAUAGAUGCAGGCUGCUCACCGUCUUACACACACCCCUGGGUAAUCUGGCUUUCCUUGGCUAAUUAUGAUAGAUUCUGACUCUCGAAGCACUCUGAGGCAGCUCACACCUGUUAUCGCUUGGACUUAGCCCUGGCUACGUCAUCAUAUUCUAAUCCUGUUGCCCGAUGCCUGGGAGUUAUCUUACUCUAUGCUCGGUUCCUCAGAACAGCCGUGCACGCACCCACAAAUCAUUGAGCAAUUUCUACUUAUUUGCCCAUUAGCUUUCCUCCCUGUAAAGUGUGAACCCCUGAAAGACAAGCCAGGCUCCCAGCACUCGGGAGGCAGGUGAUGUUGAAUUCAGGACCACGCUGCUGAGUUACAGGCUGAAUUGAGGCCAUGUCACUAUGUAAAAAAGUGAAAAGCAGACUGGGAUGUAGCUGCGUGUGUGUGUGUGUGUGUGUGUGUGUGUGUGUGUGUGUGUGUGUGUGUGUGUGAAGUAGUGUCCUAGCAUAGAUGCCUUAGUCAGGGAUUCUACUGCUGAGAUACAACACCAAGACCAAAGUGAAGGGGUCUAUUUAGCUUACACAUCCAGCACUGUUCAUCAGUGAAGGAAGUCAGGACAGGAACCUGGAGGCAGGACCUGAUGCAGAGGCCAUGAAGAGAUGCUGCUUACUGGCUUGCUCGCCAUGGCUUGCUCAGCCUGCUUUCUUACAGAACCAGUACCUCCAAUUCAGGAAUGACCCCACACACCAUGGACUGGGCCCUCCCCAAAAGAGUGCCCUACAGCAUCUCUUAUGGAAGCAUUUUCAAAACUGAGGUUCUCUCCUUCCUGAUAACUCUAGCUUAUGGCAAAUUGACAUAAAACUAGAGUCCUGUCUGUUAGCACAGGAUGGCCACAGCUGAUGUCUACUAGGAAGGGAGGUACCACUAAUCCACACAGUCAGGCUUUCUUGGAACUCCUCACGUCACUGGGACUUCCAGGUAAAGCCAGAUCUGCUUUGUGGGUGAAUACAAGAAGAGACUCCCAGAGGAGAGAACGGCAGGAUCCGAACCUGAUUGACCCUUUGCAGAAAAUAUAGAUUUCACUGAGGUCUCCAGGAAGUGGGUCUUGGUCAGCAUCUUUGAGGGACACUGGAGACACUCUGAUGGCUUCUUGGUGUCUCAGAACACCAUCUGUUUGCUUGUUCCCCACUGCCAACCCUGCACCAUCUGCUCCAGGCAGCAAACCAGAGCUGGCCUACGCCCAGGGCCUUCUGCACCUGCCCAGUGCUGGUGGGUCCAGAAUACCCUUCCUGCUUUCUAGAAAAGCGUACUGGGAGUAGAGUGGGGGUAUUAGAACUUUUUCAGACAGCGGUUUCGAGGCCAAAGUAGAAGGGUUGCUGCGAAAGUCGAAUAUUCUCAGGGGUUCGAGCAGAACACUAGAGGAAGCACACUAGGCAAUGUUUCCAAUUUGAAGGGUCAGAGAGGCUGAGGUAUUUGACUGGUCACAGAGCUCCUGAGGAGCAGGAGGAAGACCUGAGACGCUCACUCAGCCGCCAAAGGAGAAAGCAAAGGUGCCCACCUCGCCCGGGGUGGGGCGGAAUGGAAUUGUUCAGAACAAUGCAGUUCUGUGAUGGUCCAGAUCCAAGUGUGUAGAAAGAUUGUCAAAAUAUAGGGUGGUAGAGCCCUGGGGACCUGGGGACCUUGGGACCUGGGGAUCUUGGGACCAGGAACAGUAGAGGACAUUUUUGUGUCGAGAGCACACAGGAGGAAGAGCUCUGAAGAGAGCAUUGAAAAUCCCUAGGCUUCAGCACUGAACUGUGUGGAAGAUGUGGAGGUCAACCUUGUGAAGGGAAACGUGGAAUGCAGGCUGAGCCACCUCAGGCUCCUGCACCCAUCACACCUGCUCCUGAGUAACCUCAUCAGGUGGGGCUCUCAUUGGGUCACAGUGAUGGUGUGGUGAGAUAUGAUUGGCCCAGGGUUUGGGGGCUUGGGAUUGGCUCAAACACUGUGUCUAAGCUCACAUGCUGCUCAAUAAACUCAGUUCUGCACCCCGA